CCUACGGGAGGCUGCAGUGAGGAAUAUUGGUCAAUGGACGAGAGUCUGAACCAGCCAAGUAGCGUGAAGGAUGACUGCCCUAUGGGUUGUAAACUUCUUUUAUAUGGGAAUAAAAUGUUCCACGUGUGGGAUUUUGUAUGUACUAUAUGAAUAAGGAUCGGCUAACUCCGUGCCAGCAGCCGCGGUAAUACGGAGGAUCCGAGCGUUAUCCGGAUUUAUUGGGUUUAAAGGGAGCGUAGGUGGAUUGUUAAGUCAGUUGUGAAAGUUUGCGGCUCAACCGUAAAAUUGCAGUUGAAACUGGCAGUCUUGAGUACAGGAGAGGUGGGCGGAAUUCGUGGUGUAGCGGUGAAAUGCUUAGAUAUCACGAAGAACUCCGAUUGCGAAGGCAGUUCACUGGACUGCAACUGACACUGAGGCUCGAAAGUGUGGGUAUCAAACAGGAUUAGAUACCCUAGUAGUC
rnacentral:rRNA from 1 species